rnacentral:tRNA from 1 species
GCCUCUGUGGCGCAGUGGUAGUGCGCUUGUCUAUGUCACUGGAGGUCCCGGGUUCGAAUCCCGGCUAGGGCA